GACGAACGCUGGCGGCGUGCUUAAUACAUGCAAGUCGAGCGGGUGUAGCAAUACAUCAGCGGCGGACGGGUGAGUAACGCGUGGGCAAUCUGCCCUCUAGCCUGGGAUAACAGUUCGAAAGGACUGCUAACACCGGAUAUGCUCCCAGCCUGGCAUCAGGCAGAGAGGAAAGUUUACACUAGAGGAUGAGCCCGCGUCCCAUUAGCUAGUUGGUGAGGUAACGGCCCACCAAGGCGACGAUGUGUAGCCGACCUGAGAGGGUGAACGGCAACACGGGGACUGAGACACGGCCCAGACUCCUACGGGAGGCAGCAGUAGGGAAUGUUCCGCAAUGGACGAAAGUCUGACGGAGCAACGCCGCGUGAGGGAUGAAGGUUUUCGGAUCGUAAACCUCUGUCUUCAGGGACGAUAAUGACGGUACCUGAGGAGGAAGCCACGGCUAACUACGUGCCAGCAGCCGCGGUAA
rnacentral:rRNA from 1 species